GUGGCUAUGGUAUAAUGGUUAUUACUCUGGCUUGUGGAGCCGGCAAUACGGGUUCAAUCCCCGUUAGCCACCCCA
rnacentral:tRNA from 1 species